AUUGAACGCUGGCGGCAUGCCUUACACAUGCAAGUCGAACGGCAGCAUAGGAGCUUGCUCCUGAUGGCGAGUGGCGAACGGGUGAGUGAUAUAUCGGAACGUGCCCUAGAGUGGGGGAUAACUAGUCGAAAGACUAGCUAAUACCGCAUACGAUCUACGGAUGAAAGUGGGGGAUCGCAAGACCUCAUGCUCCUGGAGCGGCCGAUAUCUGAUUAGCUAGUUGGUGGGGUAAAAGCUCACCAAGGCGACGAUCAGUAGCUGGUCUGAGAGGACGACCAGCCACACUGGGACUGAGACACGGCCCAGACUCCUACGGGAGGCAGCAGUGGGGAAGUUUGGACAAUGGGGGCAACCCUGAUCCAGCAAUGCCGCGUGAGUGAAGAAGGCCUUCGGGUUGUAAAGCUCUUUUGUCAGGGAAGAAACGGUUCUGGAUAAUACCUGGGACUAAUGACGGUACCUGAAGAAUAAGCACCGGCUAACUACGUGCCAGCAGCCGCGGUAA
rnacentral:rRNA from 1 species